rnacentral:rRNA from 1 species
GGAAGGAUCAUUAUCGAAUAAACUUGAUCAGGUUGUUGCUGGCCUUUUGAAGGCAUGUGCACACUUGUCAUCUUUAUUUCUCCAACUGUGCACAUAUUGUAGACCAUGGAUGUUGUUGCUAAUAGCAGAUUUGAGAAGUGCUCAGCUUUCUCUUAUGCAAGGUCUAUGUUAUCCAUCUUUUACACACUGUUUUAGAAUGUUUUUUUUUGGAAAUACAAAUGUACAACUUUCAGCAACGGAUCUCUUGGUUCUCGCAUCGAUGAAGAACGCAGCGAAAUGCGAUAAGUAAUGUGAAUUGCAGAAUUCAGUGAAUCAUCGAAUCUUUGAACGCAACUUGCGCUCCUUGGUACUCUGAGGAGCAUGCCUGUUUGAGUGUCAUUAAACUUCUUCUCAACCCAUCCAGUUUCUCUGUGUGUGGGCUUUGGACAAUUGGGGGCUUGCUGGUUACUAUUUGUCCAGCUCUCCUGAAAAGCAUUAGCGGCAUCUGGGCUGCUUGCAGGUGUGAUAACUUGUCUACACCUUUGCAGUGGCUGCAUUUGUGCUGCUUCAGAGGGCAUUGAUGAAAUUG